rnacentral:misc_RNA from 1 species
UGGUUCUGGCAUCGAUGAAGAACGCAGCGAAAUGCGAUAAGUAAUGCGAAUUGCAGAAUUUCCGUGAGUCAUCGAAUCUUUGAACGCACAUUGCGCCCUUUGGUAUUCCGAAGGGCAUGCCUGUUCGAGCGUCAUUAUCCUCCCUCAAACCCUGGUGUUUGGUGUUGGACCGUGUUGGCGGGGGUUGAUCUCCCCCAACUGGUCUCAAAGACAAUGACGGCGUCCGUGGGGCCCUCUUCGCACUGAGCUUCUCGGAGCACGCGUAGAGUUUCAAGGCUCCAGGGGCCCGGUCACCUUUUAAAUUUUCUCUAGGUUGACCUCGGAUCAGGUAGGAAUACCCGCUGA